GGGGCUGUAGCUCAGCUUGGAUAGAGCAGCUGCCUUCUAAGCAGAAGAUCGGGGGUUCAAAUCCUCCCAGCCCCG
rnacentral:tRNA from 1 species